rnacentral:rRNA from 1 species
AGUCGAGCGAGUCUGCCUUGAAGAUCGGAGUGCUUGCACUCUGUGAAACAAGAUACAGGCUAGCGGCGGACGGGUGAGUAACACGUGGGUAACCUGCCCAAGAGAUCGGGAUAACACCUGGAAACAGAUGCUAAUACCGGAUAACAACAGAUGAUGCCUAUCAACUGUUUAAAAGAUGGUUCUGCUAUCACUCUUGGAUGGACCUGCGGUGCAUUAGCUAGUUGGUAGGGUAACGGCCUACCAAGGCGAUGAUGCAUAGCCGAGUUGAGAGACUGAUCGGCCACAUUGGGACUGAGACACGGCCCAAACUCCUACGGGAGGCAGCAGUAGGGAAUCUUCCACAAUGGACGCAAGUCUGAUGGAGCAACGCCGCGUGAGUGAAGAAGGGUUUCGGCUCGUAAAGCUCUGUUGUUGGUGAAGAAGGACAGGGGUAGUAACUGACCUUUGUUUGACGGUAAUCAAUUAGAAAGUCACGGCUAACUACGUGCCAGCAGCCGCGGUAAUACGUAGGUGGCAAGCGUUGUCCGGAUUUAUUGGGCGUAAAGCGAGUGCAGGCGGCUCGAUAAGUCUGAUGUGAAAGCCUUCGGCUCAACCGGAGAAUUGCAUCAGAAACUGUCGAGCUUGAGUACAGAAGAGGAGAGUGGAACUCCAUGUGUAGCGGUGAAAUGCGUAGAUAUAUGGAAGAACACCGGUGGCGAAGGCGGCUCUCUGGUCUGUUACUGACGCUGAGGCUCGAAAGCAUGGGUAGCGA